CUGAGUGUUACAACUCCCAAACCCUAUGUGAACACUACCAUUCGUUGCUUCGGCGGGACCGCCCCGGCGCCUCUGCGCGCCGGAACCAGGCGCCCGCCGGGGGCCCGAAACUAUUGUUUUGUCAGUGGAAUUUUCUCUGAGUGGCAUAAGCAAAUAAAUUA
rnacentral:misc_RNA from 1 species